rnacentral:rRNA from 1 species
CCGACUGCUAUUUGGGUGAGAAUAAGCCAUGCGAGUUGAAUGGGAUACCUAAAGUUCCCAUAGCAAACUGCUCAGUAACACAUGAUCAACUUACCCUAUAGAGAAAAAUAACCUCGGGAAACUGAGGAUAAUGUUUCAUAAUUGAAUUGGCUUGGAAAAGUUUUUCAAUGAAAAGGAUAAAAAAAAUGGUUUUUAUCCGCUAUAGGAUAGGAUCGUGUUCGAUUAUGGUUGUUGGUGAGAUAAUGGCUCACCAAGCCGAUAAUCGAUAGGGGCCGUGAGAGCGGGAGCCCCGAGAUGGGUACUGAGACAACGACCCAGGCCUUACGAGGCGCAGCAGGCGCGAAACCUCCGCAAUACACGAAAGUGUGACGGGGUUACCCAAAGUGUUCAAUUUGAACUGUGGUAGGUGAGUAAUGUCCCCUACUAGAAAGGAGAGGGCAAGGCUGGUGCCAGCCGCCGCGGUAAAACCAGCUCUUCAAGUGGUCGGGAUAAUUAUUGGGCUUAAAGUGUCCGUAGCCGGUUUAGUAAGUUCCUGGUAAAAUCGGGUAGCUUAACUAUCUGCAUGCUAGGAAUACUGCUAUACUAGAGGGCGGGAGAGGUCUGAGGUACUACAGGGGUAGGGGUGAAAUCUUAUAAUCCUUGUAGGACCACCAGUGGCGAAGGCGUCAGACUGGAACGCGCCUGACGGUGAGGGACGAAAGCCAGGGGAGCGAACCGGAUUAGAUACCCGGGUAGUCCUGGCCGUAAACGAUGCAUACUAGGUGAUGGUACGGCCAUGAGCCGUAUCAGUGCCGUAGGGAAACCGUUAAGUGUGCCGCCUGGGAAGUACGGUCGCAAGGCUAAAACUUAAAGGAAUUGGCGGGGGAGCACCACAAGGGGUGAAGCCUGCGGUUC